rnacentral:rRNA from 2 species
CCUGCGGAGGGAUCAUUACAGAGUUAUCCAACUCCCAAACCCAUGUGAACUUAUCUCUUUGUUGCCUCGGCGCAAGCUACCCGGGACCUCGCGCCCCGGGCGGCCCGCCGGCGGACAAACCAAAACUCUUGUUAUCUUAGUUGAUUAUCUGAGUGUCUUAUUUAAUAAGUCAAAACUUUCAACAACGGAUCUCUUGGUUCUGGCAUCGAUGAAGAACGCAGCGAAAUGCGAUAAGUAAUGUGAAUUGCAGAAUUCAGUGAAUCAUCGAAUCUUUGAACGCACAUUGCGCCCAUUAGUAUUCUAGUGGGCAUGCCUGUUCGAGCGUCAUUUCAACCCCUAAGCACAGCUUAUUGUUGGGAACCUACGGCUUCGUAGUUCCUCAAAGACAUUGGCGGAGUGGCAGUGGUCCUCUGAGCGUAGUAAUCUUUUAUCUCGCUUCUGUUAGGUGCUGCCCCCCCGGCCGUAAAACCCCCAAUUUUUUCUGGUUGACCUCGGAUCAGGUAGGAAUACCCGCUGAACUUAAGCAUAUC